AAAUACUACUAUUUAUACUGUUAGAUGGAUAGCUUGGUUUUGGUUUUGAUGAAAGACGUGGCAAGCUGCGAUAAGCUUGGGGGAGCUGCAUGCAAGCUUUGAUCCCAAGAUUUCUGAAUAACGCAGAGAUGCGGAAUUACGCCGGGAAUUGAAACAUCUUAGUACCGGCAGGAAAAGAAAACAAUUAGUGAUGCCCUUAGUAGCAGCGAGCGAAAAGGGUACAGGGCAAACUGAAUCUUCUCUUGAAAGAGAGAUAGAGAUGUGGUGAGGAACAAAGACUAAGUCAAUGAUUCAAACUUUGCUGGAAAGCAAGACCUUAGAAGGUGAUAGUCCUGUAGAAAAAAUUGAUAUGUUAUACCUCGAAAGAGUAGGGCUUCCUAGAUUGGGGGUCUGAAUAUGGCAGGAUUAACUGACCAACCCUAAAUAAAACCAAAGUCCGAUAGCGCACUAGUACCGCGAGGGAAAGCUGAAAAGUACUCUUAAUAGAGAGUUAAAAGACUUGAAAUCUAACAGUUACAGUUUGUUACUGAUCUUACUGUUUACUCAGAUAAGAUUUGUAACGUACGUUUUGAAAAACGGGCCAGGGAGUUUUUCUAUGUGGCAAGGCUAAUCUUCUCUGAAGAGUAACCGAAGCGAAAGCAAGUAUGAAAAUGCAUUAGUCACAUGGAGAAGACCUGAAGCCAGAUGAUCUAUUCAUGGGCAAGGUGAAGUCUUUCGAAAGGAGGAUGGAGGCCUGAACCGGUGUUAUGAACAUGUACUCGAAUGACCUGUGAAUAGGGGUGAAAAGCUUAUCUAAUCUGGCGAUGGCUGGUUCCUACUGAAAUAUGCCUUCGUAUAGUCUUGUUUAGUUUGUUAGCGGUGUAAAGUACGGAUAAAUCUUGCAGGAGCUAAUGCUUACGGAGAUUUUUCCAACUCAGAAGCUGUUAAUUGCUUAGAACAGGAAACAGGGUGUGUAUGUAAGAUACAUUUCCGAGACCCGAACAAGGGAGACCAGAGUUAAGGUCCCAAAAUUUAUGCUAAGUGUAUCAAAAGGUGUCUUGAACCUGAGACACUGGGGAUGUAAGCUUAGAAGCAGCUAUCAUUUAAAGAAAGCGUAACAGCUCACCCAUCGAGGUUCAGGGCCCUGAAAAUGGACGGGGCUAAAGCAUAAUACCGAUACUUUGGAGGCAUUCAUUAGAAUGUUCUGGUAAGUAGGCGUGGUUUCUGCGCAGAAGGUUUUUCGUGAGAAAGGCUGGAGCGGGAACCAAUGAGAAUCCUGGCAAUAGUAGGAUGUGAUUUUUCUGAGAAUGAAAAAUGUCGAAAGAGCAAGGUUUCCUCGGCAAUAUUUUUUAACCGAGGGUUAGUCAGCACCUAAGUCGUGCCUUAACUGAACACGACGAUGGACAGCAGGUUAAUAUUCCUGCACUAAUUGAAUUUUAUAUAAUAGGGUUUUGCUUCUGGAUAAGUAAGCACUUGAGAAAGUGUUUUUAUAAAUAAAUCUGUCGAGGGUAAUCCUUAGACGCAGAUGAAUUUUUUGAACAAAAUUGCUGAUUCCAGGAGCCAGUGAAAAGACCUUAUUCUUAAUUUAAUUAGCUGUACCCACAACCGACACUGGUGCUCUGGCUGAGUAGGCCAAGACAUGAAAGGGAAAACCAAUUAAGGGAAUUCAGCAAUUUAGUCCUGUAGCUUAGGCUUAAGGGAUGUCUAUCUUUGUGCGCUUCAGAAAUGUGUGUGCAUCGAUAGAUCUCAGUAACAAGGACGGCCCGACUGUUUACCAAAAACGUAGCCAAGUGCUAAUCUGAAAAGACUUGUAUACUUGGUGAGACCUGCCCAGUGGUGGUGUCUCAAACUCCUUUUCAAGGGAGCUAAGGUCCAUUAAACGGCGGGGGUAACUAUGACCCUCAAUAAAGGGGGUAUUUAAAUUUGGCUGUAUGCUGGAAACUCCUGUUAAGUCUUUGGUACUCGACGUUUAUCGUCAGUAAAAAUCCAAAGAAUAAGGACAAUCAGCAGGAAACUAAAGGUUUAUAUAUUUGACCUUCUAUAAAAGGUCAUGAAUAAAAAACAAUAUGUGUAUUAUCUUACGGGGUUUAUGGAUGGAGAGAGUUGUUUUUGUAUUGCUCUUAAAAACCAAAAAUCUGCAAAAGUAAGAUGGGUGCUUGAUCCAAUAUUCCAUGUAACACAAAAUGCAAUUAACAAAAAGAUAUUAUAUGAUCUUCAAAAAAUGUUUAAUUGUGGUGUUGUAAUUAAGAAAUAUGGUCAGCUAAAUACUAUGCAGUUUGUAGUUCAAAGUAGAAAUGAAAUAAUAGAAAAAAUUAUUCCCUUCUUCAAAAAAUAUCAAUUGAUAACAAAAAAGAAAGAUUUUGAAAUAUUUGCAGAAGUUGUUGAAGCAUUGAAUCAACAUAAACAUAAAGAUUUUAAUGAAUUCAAAAAACUUCUUAAGAAAGUCUUUACAAUGAAUGGAGGAGGAAAACAAAGAAGAUACAAACUUAAAGAUGUGUUAGAAUCUUUAGGAUCCUCAGAGACUAUACGCCAAACACAAUCCAAAAAAUUGUGAUGAUAUAGUCCGAACUGCAUGGAGACAUGCAGAGACUCACUCGCGUGAGUCCGCUGUUAAUUAAAUAACAGUUAAGUAACUCUUUUUAGAGUGAAAGUAACAGAAAGCUUAAGGUAGCGUAAUACCUUGUCAUUUGAAUGAUGACUUGCAUGAAUGGUUUAACGAGGUUGUCACUGUCCCUAAUUGGAGCCUUCUGAAAAUAUUUUUCCGGUGCAAAGACCGGAGACACCUAGUGGGAAGCGAAGACCUUGUGGAACUUUACUGCAACUUGUUGUUGUAAUUUUAUGAAAAACGCAUAGCAUAGGUAGGAGCGUCGAAGCUGUCAUUUCGGUGACAGUGGAGCGAACUUGUAAUACUACCCAUUUUUUAUAAGAUUGCUUACUCUUUAGAGGACAGCAGCAGGCGGGCAGUUUGACUGGGGCGGUGCCCUGUCGAAAAGAUAUCGAUAGGACCCAAAGACAAGCUCAUCCAGCUUGGAAAUCUGGAGUUGAGUGCGAAGGCAAAAGCUUGUCUGACUGUAUUUUGAAAAGCAAGAAAUGCAGGGGAGAAAUCCGGGCUUAGUGAACCCACAUGCUCAUUUAAUAGGAGCUGUGUCUGAUAGAAAAGUUACCCCAAGGAUAAUAAGCUUGUCGCCCCCGAUAGUCCGAAUUGACGGGGCGGUUUGGUAUUUCGCUGUCGGCUCUUCCUAUCCUGCGCGUGCAGAAGCGUGCAAGGGUGCCGGAGUUCACGUAUUAAAAGGAAUCGUUAGCUGGGUUAAGAACGUCGCGAGACAGUUUGUAUGAUAUCUACUAGGUGUGUUAUUGUCUGAGUGGAACAAGUUAGUAGUACGAGAGGAACCUGACUUGGAUGCCUCUGGUGAGCAGUUGUUAUAUAGCAGGCUGCAUAGCUACGCAUUGUAUGGAUAAGAGCUGAAUGCAUCUAAGCUCGAAGCCAUUCGCAAAACGAGACAAUUAAGGCCGUCAAAGAAGAUGACGUUGAUAGAGUUCUUGUGUAAGCACGAAGGUUCGCCGACGUGUUCAGCAUAGAACAACUAAAAGCCUCACUUGUAUUAUUU
rnacentral:rRNA from 1 species